rnacentral:rRNA from 1 species
GACGAACGCUGGCGGCGUGCUUAACACAUGCAAGUCGAACGGAAAGGCCCUGAUUUUGUGGGGUGCUCGAGUGGCGAACGGGUGAGUAACACGUGAGUAACCUGCCCUUGUUUUUGGGAUAACUUCAGGAAACUGGGGUUAAUAUCGGAUAGGAGAUCAUGCUGCAUGGUGGGGGUUGGAACGUUUCGGCGGUUGGGGAUGGACUCGCGGCUUAUCAGCUUGUUGGUGGGGUAGUGGCUUACCAAGGCUUUGACGGGUCGCCGGCCUGGGAGGGUGAACGGCCACAUUACGACUGAGAUACGGCCCAGACUCCUACGGUAGGCAACGGUGGGAAAUAUUGCACAAUGGGCGGAAGCCUGACGCAGCAACGCCGCGUGCGUAAAGACGUCCUUCUGGGUAUAAACCGCUUUCGCCUGUGACGAAGCGUUAGUGACGGUAAUGGAUAAAGAAGCACCGGCUAACUACGUG